GAUGAACGCUGGCGGCGUGCUUAACACAUGCAAGUCGAACGAAGCACUUUAUUUGAUUUCCUUCGGGACUGAUUAUUUUGUGACUGAGUGGCGGACGGGUGAGUAACGCGUGGGUAACCUGCCUUGUACAGGGGGAUAACAGUUGGAAACGGCUGCUAAUACCGCAUAAGCGCACGGCAUCGCAUGAUGCAGUGUGAAAAACUCCGGUGGUAUAAGAUGGACCCGCGUUGGAUUAGCUAGUUGGUGAGGUAACGGCCCACCAAGGCGACGAUCCAUAGCCGACCUGAGAGGGUGACCGGCCACAUUGGGACUGAGACACGGCCCAAACUCCUACGGGAGGCAGCAGUGGGGAAUAUUGCACAAUGGGCGAAAGCCUGAUGCAGCGGCGCCGCGUGAGCGAAGAAGUAUUUCGGUAUGUAAAGCUCUAUCAGCAGGGAAGAUAAUGACGGUACCUGACUAAGAAGCACCGGCUAAAUACGUG
rnacentral:rRNA from 1 species